rnacentral:rRNA from 1 species
UGGGGAAUAUUGCACAAUGGGCGCAAGCCUGAUGCAGCCAUGCCGCGUGUGUGAAGAAGGCCUUCGGGUUGUAAAGCACUUUCAGCGAGGAGGAAGGUGGUGAGCUUAAUACGCUUAUCAAUUGACGUUACUCGCAGAAGAAGCACCGGCUAACUCCGUGCCAGCAGCCGCGGUAAUACGGAGGGUGCAAGCGUUAAUCGGAAUUACUGGGCGUAAAGCGCACGCAGGCGGUUUGUUAACUCAGAUGUGAAAUCCCCGGGCUCAACCUGGGAACUGCAUUUGAAACUGGCAAGCUAGAGUCUCGUAGAGGGGGGUAGAAUUCCAGGUGUAGCGGUGAAAUGCGUAGAGAUCUGGAGGAAUACCGGUGGCGAAGGCGGCCCCCUGGACGAAGACUGACGCUCAGGUGCGAAAGCGUGGGGAGCAAACA